UUACCCCGCAAGGGGUAGCUGAGUGGCGAACGGGUGAGUAACACGUGGGUGACCUACCUUCGAGUGGGGGAUAACGUCCCGAAAGGGACGCUAAUACCGCAUAACAUCCUGCCUUUGAACAGGCGGUGAUCAAAGCCGGGGACCGCAAGGCCCGGCGCUUGAUGAGGGGCCCGCGUCUGAUUAGCUAGUUGGUGAGGUAACGGCCCACCAAGGCGACGAUCAGUAUCCGGCCUGAGAGGGCGGACGGACACACUGGGACUGAGACACGGCCCAGACUCCUACGGGAGGCAGCAGUGGGGAAUUGUUCGCAAUGGGCGCAAGCCUGACGACGCAACGCCGCGUGGAGGAUGAAGGUCUUCGGAUUGUAAACUCCUGUUGCCCGGGACGAAUAGCUUUGACCUAAUACGUCGAAGUCUGACGGUACCGGGUGAGGAAGCCCCGGCUAACUCUGUGCCAGCAGCCGCGGUAAUACAGAGGGGGCAAGCGUUGUUCGGAAUUACUGGGCGUAAAGGGCGCGUAGGCGGCCUGCUAAGUCGAACGUGAAAUCCCCGGGCUCAACCCGGGAACUGCGUCCGAUACUGGGAGGCUUGAAUUCGGGAGAGGGAUGCGGAAUUCCAGGUGUAGCGGUGAAAUGCGUAGAUAUCUGGAGGAACACCGGUGGCGAAGGCGGCAUCCUGGACCGAAAUUGACGCUGAGGCGCGAAAGCCAGGGGAGCAAACGGGAUUAGAUACCCCGGUAGUCCUGGCCCUAAACGAUGAAUGCUUGGUGUGGCGGGUAUCGAUCCCUGCCGUG
rnacentral:rRNA from 1 species